rnacentral:misc_RNA from 1 species
GAUGAAGAACGUAGCGAAAUGCGAUAAGUAAUGUGAAUUGCAGAAUUCAGUGAAUCAUCGAAUCUUUGAACGCACCUUGCACCCUUUGGCAUUCCGAAGGGUAUGCUCGUUUGAGUGUCAUUGUACUCUCACACUUCCGAUCUUUGGAUUGGGAGCGGUGGACUUGGGUGUUGCUGCUUACUGUGGCUCACCUCAAAUCGAUUCGUGCACCUCUUGGUUGGACGUAGUACGGCGUGAUAAGUGUCUUCGCCGGCACCUCAGUAGAGGGUGGCUGAUCGGGAGCUCUGCUUCAAACCGUCCUCGGACAACAACUGACAACUUGACCUCAAAUCGAGUAGGACUACCCGCUGAACUUAAGCAUAUCAAUAAGCGGAGGA